rnacentral:rRNA from 1 species
GAUGAACGCUGGCGGCGUGCCUAAUACAUGCAAGUCGAGCGAACAGACGAGGAGCUUGCUCCUCUGACGUUAGCGGCGGACGGGUGAGUAACACGUGGAUAACCUACCUAUAAGACUGGGAUAACUUCGGGAAACCGGAGCUAAUACCGGAUAAUAUAUUGAACCGCAUGGUUCAAUAGUGAAAGACGGUUUUGCUGUCACUUAUAGCUGGAUCCGCGCCGCAUUAGCUAGUUGGUAAGGCAACGGCUUACCAAGGCAACGAUGCGUAGCCGACCUGAGAGGGUGAUCGGCCACACUGGAACUGAGACACGGUCCAGACUCCUACGGGAGGCAGCAGUAGGGAAUCUUCCGCAAUGGGCGAAAGCCUGACGGAGCAACGCCGCGUGAGUGAUGAAGGUCUUCGGAUCGUAAAACUCUGUUAUUAGGGAAGAACAAAUGUGUAAGUAACUAUGCACGUCUUGACGGUACCUAAUCAGAAAGCCACGGCUAACUACGUG